rnacentral:rRNA from 1 species
UCUCUCUGAAUCUGCGAACGGCUCCGCAAACCAGUUGUAAACUAUAGCAAGCAAUCCGGGGGGUCGCCGUUAAAAAGCGGCCCUCCGGUAAUAAGGAUAACCAUGGUAAUUCUGAGGCUAAUACAAGAACGUAACCCCCGGCCGACCCGCGAGGGAAAGCCGGGAGACGUACGAGUUUUACGCGAGGAGUUAUCGGGAAAGAACGUACGUCUGGACCGCGCCAAAGACGGAUGGAUCCCACCAACCCUCACGGGUCGGGGUUCGCCCGAGCGGCUCUUGCAAUGUGCUUCUGACCUAUCAACUAGAUGGCAGCGUAAGGGACAUGCUAUGGUGACAACGGGUACAGAGGAUUAGGGUUCGAUCCUGGAGAGUGGGCCUGAGAGAUU